rnacentral:rRNA from 1 species
CCUACGGGAGGCAGCAGUGGGGAAUAUUGGACAAUGGGCGCAAGCCUGAUCCAGCCAUGCCGCGUGAGUGAUGAAGGCCUUAGGGUUGUAAAGCUCUUUUGUCCGGGACGAUAAUGUCGGUACCGGAAGAAUAAGCCCCGGCUAACUUCGUGCCAGCAGCCGCGGUAAU